UACGAAGGGGGCUAGCGUUGCUCGGAAUUACUGGGCGUAAAGGGCGCGUAGGCGGAUAGUUUAGUCAGAGGUAAAAGCCCAGGGCUCAACCUUGGAACUGCCUUUGAUACUGGCUAUCUUGAGUUCGGGAGAGGUGAGUGGAAUGCCGAGUGUAGAGGUGAAAUUCGUAGAUAUUCGGAAGAACACCAGUGGCGAAGGCGGACUCACUGGACUGGUAUUGACGCUGAGGUGCGAAAGCGUGGGGAGCAAACAGGG
rnacentral:rRNA from 1 species